ACAGAAAUGGAGACACCCCAAACCGCUGGCAUUCUUCAAAAUUAACAUACCACGAAAAGUACACAAAACAAAAGAAGUGUUUGCCAUGUUACUAGUUGGGUGCAUGGAUGGAUGGUUGGAUGGAUGGAUGGUCGGCUGGUAAAUGUGGAUGCAUGCCCCGUUUGGAGAACAAGUUACUGGGCUCUGGACAGCUGAUGGCCAGUGGAUCCGAUGACCGUGGCGGUGAUUUCCAGCAUAUGGUCGAGAUUUGCCCAGUUAAGUGGGUACUGGGUCACUGGGAGAUGAAUGCUCGAAAACCAUGGAAAAAGUCUACUUUCACGGCCCAUUCACGUGGAUCCAAUUAAAGUUGCCACUCUGGCAGUUUUCCCAACAGCAAAGCCAUCGAUGGAGCGGAGUUUCUGUUCUGGCUGAACAAGAGGAAGCCACAGAAUGCUUUGACAGCAUCAAGGACGAUGAUGAUGUGAUUCCACCGGCUUGCUUCAAUUAUAGGGAAUUGCGCAAAUCCUUCAAACUUUCGCCCCUAGGCAAAAGUUCGGCACCAAAUCUGCCCAAGUCGCUGGGUAGCGGAACUGCCAUCUUAUUAGCGCUCUUCUCGACUUUCCUGUGACACUAAUCCCGCUGCAAGUUUCCUGCACUUCAACUUCAAGUUGGUUGCACAUAAGCCGGGGCUCAUCUACCCAAAAAAAUAAAAGCGAAACAACAAGCAAACAAAAGCAGCCAGCAGCACACCAGUAAACUGGCAACAAAACAGGGCUAACGUCGAUGCCGAUUGCGAUUGUGAUUCGCGAUUUGGGAUUCGGCAAUGGCCGUUUGCCAUUGCGGUGCGCAGCUCCUCUGGAACAGAUUAAAUUCCAAAUUGUUUUUCAUGGGCCGACAGACAAGUCCGCAGUCCUGACAUCGCCUCAUCCACCCCAGAUUUUCGAGAGCCUCUGCCCCCAGGCGCUGGCCAAUUCCCGUAUGCAAUGAAAACAAUUUGUAUCCUACUCUUUAUAUCCCUACCCUGUAUAUGGAUUUGGACAAAGGAAUACGGGUUAUAUUUUUGAUAAAAAAAAAAAUUCUGGAAAAUAUUGCGCAUUGUUAACUGCGAAUCUGCAUUC
ensembl:ncRNA lncRNA:CR42755 long non-coding RNA:CR42755